CCCAAAGUCUUGAACCAAUUCGGCCCAUGCAUGUUCAUUAGGUGUUAAAAUAAACCCUCCAUGCAAUUGCAUGUACGCCACAUGUCUUCCCCCUCUCUUGCAUGUCCACCAUCUUUCCAAGCAUAGGGCACUUGGACUAUCUUUUCUCCAUGCUUCGGUCAAACCCUUCCCUUAACCAAGGAUUUAUUUUCAUCUCUUGAAACUGACCAACUUUCUUUUAUACUUCCAUCACACAAAAACGUGUUGCUGUCCUCACCCCCCUCAAGGCCGUAGGUAACCAACAAGAAAACAAAUCAGAAUUCUAUUUCCCCUCUUUUCUUCCACUGAACCGUGAACACUACAAAGAAACAACAAAAGUUCUGAACAUUCUUCCCACUUUUCCCCCUCUAAGCCGUGAGUUGUUCAAAGAGACAUUCAUCACCUAACUUCCAAAUCCUAUUUCCUCAUACGCGGGCAAAGGUCAACACCAAGGAGGCUGUGUUUUAAGGGCUGCAUCCUAUCUUCCUUCUUGCUAGAGUUCAGCCGAACCUCAACACUUAAGAAGCUGUAAGACGGAGCUAGUGGAGAAGGGUUAAACCCCUUUACAAGCCGCCCAAAGCGUGACCCUUGGAGUAAGAAAAGAAAAACCGAAACUUGGAGCCUAGGAAAGUAUAAAAUUGCUCAUUGCCAAACCGUGAUUGGGAGUACAAACCAAAAAAAAAAAAGGUGCGCAAAACUCUUGAGAAUUGGAUUAUUUCGCUGCUGCCUGGUAAAUUUAUUGUGACGUGUGAGGUAUGUGUUAGGCGGUAUUACCUAAUGUGACUAUUAGCUAGUGUAUGAAAUUGUGAUGUGUUGCUCACAUAUGUUCAAUGUUAUUUUAUGAUGAUGAUAUGGCAAUGGUAAGAAUAUGAAAUGAUGAUAAUGAUAUGUGCAUGCAUUUUUACAUCAUGAUGCAUUUUUCUGUUUCGUGUGUGACCGCAUUUCAUGGCAUGUAUACAAUAGAUUCAUGUAGGCUUUGAAAUGUAGAAUAGUUAUAUACAGGAUCAUGUGUAUGAGCACGCAUCAUAUAGGCAUCCCUUGAUAUCAGGGUACUGGGACAGUUGGCGUCAGUCCGCAUAGGCCACAGUUGAAUUCCCCAAAUGAUGGUGUCAUGCAUGGAAUUUCCACUGCGUAUGCACGCGCAUGACGGUGCUAUAAGCGUGAAGAAGGCGUUAUAUACGCAAUAUGAUAUAUGAUGAAAAGGAACUAUGAUGAAAAGGAUUUAAUGUUUGUAGCGACUGUUUAUAAUUUUGUGCCAAGUUUAACACUGUUGCAUUAUUGGUUUUAUUGCCACACUACUGGGAUUAUUCUCACCCCUUUGAGGCUGCUAUUUUUACAAAAUGGCAAGAGGACGGAAGAGCAUAUGAAGACGUAGCUAUUUGUUGUUAUUUGCUGCUUGGACUUUUGCUGUUGCUGUUUAUUUAUUGGAUGACUGUACUAUUUUGGAUAUUUUGGUAUGCCUGGAUGAUUGUUGGAACUAUGAUUUUACUGCAUGUUGAAGACUUUUUGAGCAGCA